CAAGCUGACAUAUAAAAGCUGUUAGCUGCUGCUGUAGCCAGCAGCAUUCAAAACUUGCAGACUUUUGCUCUCUGAGAGUUUGUAGUAGACAUACUCCUCUUACAAGGGUUCAUGCUACAACAUAACAAAGAAUCUUACAUUGUCGGAGGAACAGUAUAUUCUUUUUGGCAUUGUGCAGAGGCAACGCAAACCUAGUGGACUUCUCUGCCCCUCAAAAUGAUAGCUACCUCUUCAGUCAGCCUUGUGAUCCUUCUGUCCCUUCUGUGUGAAGCGCGCACCGUUGUCUUACUCAAUUCCACUGACUCAUCUGCGCCAACCAAUAACUUCACUGAUACUGAAGCCGCCCUCAGCACACCACAAGAGUCUGUGGAUAGCCCCAAGGCCAGGCGGAAGCGCUACAUUUCGCAGAAUGACAUGAUCGCCAUCCUUGAUUACCAUAAUCAAGUUCGGGGCAAAGUGUUCCCACCAGCAGCAAAUAUGGAAUAUAUGGUCUGGGAUGAAAAUCUUGCAAAAUCUGCUGAGGCAUGGGCAGCCACUUGUAUUUGGGACCAUGGACCUUCUUAUUUGCUGAGAUUUUUGGGUCAAAAUCUGUCUGUAAGAACUGGAAGAUAUCGCUCUAUUCUCCAGUUGGUCAAGCCGUGGUAUGAUGAAGUGAAGGAUUAUGCCUUUCCUUACCCCCAGGACUGCAACCCUCGGUGUCCUAUGCGGUGCUUUGGUCCCAUGUGCACUCAUUAUACACAGAUGGUUUGGGCCACUUCUAAUCGAAUAGGAUGCGCAAUCAAUACUUGCCAAAACAUGAAUGUCUGGGGAUCUGUGUGGCGAAGAGCAGUGUACUUGGUCUGCAACUAUGCACCAAAGGGUAACUGGAUUGGAGAAGCACCAUAUAAAGUCGGAGUGCCGUGUUCAUCAUGUCCUCCGAGUUAUGGGGGAGCCUGUACUGACAAUCUGUGCUUUCCAGGCGUAACAUCAAACUACCUGUACUGGUUUAAAUAAGCUUAUCUUUCUUCCCCUCUGGGAUAUACAUUGGUUUCUGGACUAAUAAGUGUAUGCAUAGUGAGGUUUGAACAUGUUAUACAUAUUUUAUUAUAAUCCUGUUUUUAUUUUAAUGACCAGCUGUCUAAUGCUUGUCUAGGGUGUUAAGUCUUAGAUACAAGCAAAACAUCAAUUUCUAUUUUUUUUUGGACCUUACAUUUAAAUUAAAAUCUUGUAUGUGUAGUGAUGACAUAGUUUUUGCAUCCAAUUCCAAAACCUGCAUUUCAGAGUUAUUAUGUUAUUAUGUCCCUAAGGAAUGAAAUGUAUGUUCAAACUUUAAUAUAUGUGUAUUCAUAUGUAUACAAGUGUAUACAUAUGCACACACAUAUGAUAUAUGAUAUGACACAUAGGUAAUAAUAUGAUAUAGAAGUCAACAUGGGAAGAUUUAAAAUAUAUUUGAGGUUAUAGGACACUUUUAAGAUCAUUUCUACAAUACCCAUGAAAGGAUAGUUUGCCACUCAGUUACACUUGCAAAAAAUUUAGUUAAAUGAUUUUAGAAUUCAUUCUGGAGAUAUUUUACUUUAUUUGGGUCUACAAAGUAUAUGGUGAAUUUAUGUACAUUUUCAUAACACAUUUUUUGCUUAGUUUUAAUUUUUGAAAGAGUAACCUAUUGAGUUUUUACCUUAACAAUUUACUUUGUUGGUUAUGUUCUGAUAAUGCAAAAAAAUUACAUGUGAUUUCUGCCUUUGAGAAACCAUCAGAGAAACCCCAAAAUAACAUAGCCUAGUAAUUUUGCUAUAAAAUUAUUUCUAACAAAAGUUUUCAUGUAUUUUGAACAAACAUAAUGACCAUGUAAAGGUAGAAUGGCUGCUAAUAUCUGCUAUCUCAGAUUUCAAAUGUCUGUUUGCCAGGGAACUACAGCUUCAAAAUUCAAAUGAGAUAUGGAAGGUACCCUUGUUCUAUUGCUGAGAUACCAUGACCAAGGCAGCUUAUAAAAACAGCACUAAAAUAUCGGGGGCUUGCUUCCAGUUUCAGAAGGUUAGUCUGUGAUCAUCAUGUUGGGAAGAUGGAGGCAUUCGGACAGGAGGCAAGGCCCUGGAGCAGUAGCUGAAAGCCUCAUCUGUAGGCAGGAGUCAGUAGUGAGACUGAGCCUGUCGUGAGCUUUUAAAACAUCAAAGCCAACCCACAGUGACACACUUCCUCCAACAAGGUCACAUCUUUUUUGUUUAUUUCUCCAACAAGAUCACACCUCCUAAUCCUUCCUAAAACAGUCCACCAACCAAGACCCAACAUUCAAAUAUAUGAACCUAACAGGUCAAUUAUUAUCCAAACCACCAAACAGGGUAAUAAUCAUCAAUCUCUGAGUACAGGAAUUUCUGAAGCAGAUUAAGCUAGGAUCGUUAGGAUAGAAAUGAAGUCCCAGAGAAGUAAGAGGUCUGACCUAUCACAGGAGUAGCAUGCUGGCACAAGGAGACCAGCCAGAUGGCUAUAGAAGCCCACAUUAAAAGAGUCUAUCACAUUUGGGGACCCAUUAACAAAAGUUGAAGAUUUUCAGAAAGAUGUGUGGGCUUGAGGACACACCCAUCUCACUGUUUUCCUUGUCGUUAGUUGGAAGAGUUUAACCUACCUACUUUCUUGAGCUUUUGAAUAUCAUAUUCAAGAUCCUCCAUAAAUACCACACGCAUUCAAUUUUGUUAUGAUAGCCCUUGAUGGGUGUUUUUCAAAAAAAUAGUUAUUAAACUUUAUUUUUAUUUUUUUUUUCAAUGCAGUUUAUUCAGGAACCUUGAACAAUCAUCUGACCCUGGGGAAAGCCAGCCCACAGCUUAAAUAGCCUCUGGGUAGCCAACCCCAGCGUGCCAUGUGGGCAAUACAGUUAGGUCCACAUACAUGGAAGCAAGCCAGAUCUUCGGCCUUAGCCAAAUGUGGAAUUGUUCGUGACAGAGAGCACUCACCAUCGGGAAGGUGGAGGGCGGAAACCAGCUCCAUCUUUAAGGCGCAGCAUUCCGCAGCUCUCUACAGUUCCCCCUUUUUGUUUUAGACGCAUCAGGCAAGAGUAGAGGUCUGAUCUCUGAUAUUAGAAAUAAAUUGGGACUUUGUACUGUUUGCCUGUGGUAAAAAUGCAAGAUUAGAGUCUCACAACAGAGUAAUGCAGCCAUGACCAUUCAGGCCUUUACAGCCAUUGAAGCAGGACAGUCUCCCCAAGCAUGGUUGGCUACCAUAAAAAGCUAAAAUAUUACGCGCAGGAUGCGAGGCUAAGCACUGCACUCAGGGUCAGCCGCUUUGGACCCAGAGAAGAGGAUGUCUGAUUGCAUGCGGGUUGAUGCCCCAGGUCCCGCCUCUGAGAAAAAGAAUUAGUUUAAAAGUCUAAAAUUGUAAGAGAUGAAAUCCAUCCAGCCUUCCCAUGACUUUUAAACACCAAGAGUUCUCUAAAACAUAAAUGCUUGAAUAUACAAAAUCUCCAAACAAGCCAUCCAUGGUAUGGAAUUGAACCUGAUGUCUCCAGGUGUACAAAACCACUCUUUCAAAACUACAGCUAGAACAAGUUGCUUAUUUAUAACUUAACAACGAAGCUGAAAACACAACGGGUAUAUUUGUUAUUCUGUGUGUACUUUUUAACAUUGGUAUAUAAAAUGGCCAUGUGAAAUAUUCUCUUUCCUGGGCCAUUGCAAAUGAUAGUUUGCUUGUAUCGAUGUAGUGUCUUACAUUUCCACAGGGGUGCUAGGUUUUUGGUUUGCACUGUAAUUCUCAGAGAUUAAACGGGCCUGGCAAGAAACUGUUUCAUACAGGCAGCUUUUAUAUAGUCAGCAGUAAAGUUUUUAUUUUGAAAGUUUUCAUUAAAAAUAAUAUGACUGACAGCAUUGAUGUCCCCAGUACUAUAUUCUUAGUAGAAAAGUAACAUUUUGCUAACAUAACAUGUUAUGCAGGAAAAACAACUAAAAUAAGUCCAUGAUUUUCCAUCCAAAGCUGAUGCAUGACUUUCUAGGAAUGUGUGUGAACUGCAAAGGUCUGGUCUUAGCAUUCUUGUAACGAUAGAUACAUUUGGUUUAAUUACAUAGAAACGGAUUACUAUUGUUUUUGCUUUUGGCAUCAUCGAAACUUUCCUAGAAAUUUUUUCUGGCUCUGUUGUCACCUACACUCGAAAUGUUCCUGAAAACUUUAUUUCUAAUAUUUACGUAGCUCUAGCACAGAGCAGACCAAGAGGGAGAGCAAUUUCAACAAAUACACUGUACUCUGAAUAGUUAAAUCCAAACAAUAUAUUUUCCAUAUUUUUUGUAUUAAACAUACCCAUAAAGUCUACACUAGUAAAGCCAGUGUAUAUGUUUACCUUAAGUGUUUUGGCUUCAUACAUUUCUUGGAAAAUAAUGCAAAAGUAAAUGGAUGAGUUGAAUGUUUUCCUGAAGGAAAAGGAAUGCUGAGACCCUGUCUUUCCCCCUUAGAGUCCACAGUAUCAUAGGAUGCGAAUCUUAAUAUAGAUGGAAAACUUUACCUACUGAAGUAUUUAGGGGAGAUGAAAUUAUAUUUCUAGUAAUAGAUAAUAUUGUCUUUGUUUUUAUAAGGGUGUUCUAUUGUUAUAUGUGUGGGUGAAGACAAUCAAACCUACGAAAAAGCUUUUCUAAAUUGUGUUAUGGAUCAACUUGGAAUUGUAAAGUGUUGAUUAAAAUUAAGAAAGUUAAACAAGAAAAUGGUUAAUGGUGCUGAAAAUACAAUCACCAUAUUGUUGCAAUUUUGAGGUUUCUUUAAAAUUACAAUUGUACUAUUAAUGGUGAAAUACCAGUAUUUAUGUAUUCUGGUGCUAAAUAUAUGGUGCUAAAUGAAUUGUUAGUGUGAAAGUUUUAAAACUAUUCCUUUUAUUAACUCAAUUCUUGAUUCAGAAGUAAUAACAAAAAUUCUCUCUAAUCUUCACCCAUGUAUGACAGUUGAAUCUAUUUUCUCUUUAUUUAACAAUACAAUGUUAUUACAUGUAAAUAUAUUUCUUUAGAAGGGAUCUUUUUUUUUUUCUGUGUGUGAGUGUGUGUAUGAGAGAGAGAGGAAGACACAAAGACCUGAAAGGGAAGAUUACCCCUCUGUUAACCGUGCUGCAAGCCCUGGCGCCCUCUGGUGUUUAUGAAAACAUAUCUGUAGUGGUUCAUAAACCUUUGGUUAAAAGCCAUCUGUGUCUAGUAUAAACGUAUCUUGAACUGUCCUGGAGUUUCUCUCCCAAAACCUCCCAGCCCUGAAACCACAAGACAACAAUCAUGACUGUGGACACCUGCCUUCCUAAGAGGUGAAAAACUUAGUGUGUCCUUCACUCAAUUUUUUAAAAAAACAUAUUGUCCACUCUAAGGUAUUUAGUUUUGGAUUUGUUUGUUUUUAGGAAAUGAUUUAUUAUUGUGUCUCAUUAUUAGGAGUUGUUGUUUUACUCAGCUAGGGAUACAAUAUACUAGAAGGCCGUCUAAAAUAUUAACUAGUUAUAUAUAAAACAGAGUGAUCCACUUUGAUUGUUGUUCUAUCAUUUGAUGUGUUAUGUUUUCAUAGUAUCGAAAUAACAAUAACAAUUUAUUACCCUACUAAAGGUGAAAAUAUGACAGGCAUGUUUUGAUAGAUUUCAUAAACCCUCUUAAAGUAUCAAAUAACCUGAGGUUAUUUUCAAACUUCUUAAAGGAAAAGAACCUCUUCUGAGAUCUAACUCACACAUAAAGCUCCAAACAAACAAACAGACAAACAAACAAAACAUAAUAUGGACCCACUCUCCCCAGAUCUAGUGCUCAGAACCUUUUUUCCCUGGGCCAUAGAAUUCCAUUAAACCAAGUAACACUCAGCUAGGUUCGCCAGGUAUCCCAAUGUACUCUAAAACAAUCAGCUAAUAAAGGAAAAAAUCUGAAAACUUAAAGUAUUUCUAGACUUCUUUUAGACAUCUGCCUUUGUUCUGAAUGUACUGGCAACCUAUGUAUUCUGAAGGGAAUCACACAUUGUGCUCAGUUUGUCCCUAAAUACUCAUUACAGCAUUUGUGGUUUCUUAAUUUCUAAGCUGGAUUUUGAAUUAAAGACGGUGCACAUAUGAAGAGUAUGUUUUUAAAAUCUAUGUUCAUCUUUCAAAUAUGUUUGUAGUCUUAAAAUUUAACUUAUCACUUCAGAUAUUUUAAACACAAAUUUGGGUGGGCGUGAUUCAUUAUAUAGAGCUGUAUUGGCAAAAAGGUUCACCUUUAUGUUGUGAAAUAUUAUUAUGAAUGUAUGCAUUUUUAAUCUCUGUCUUUAGGGAACAUAGCAAACAUAGCUUUUAUUCCUACUGUAUUACUUCUUUUCUUCCAAUAAAAUUUAUUAUUCGUUAUUUUGA